GACGAACGCUGGCGGCGUGCUUAACACAUGCAAGUCGAACGAAGAGCGAUGGAAGCUUGCUUCUAUCAAUCUUAGUGGCGAACGGGUGAGUAACGCGUAAUCAACCUGCCCUUCAGAGGGGGACAACAGUUGGAAACGACUGCUAAUACCGCAUACGAUCUAAUCUCGGCAUCGAGGAUAGAUGAAAGGUGGCCUCUACAUGUAAGCUAUCACUGAAGGAGGGGAUUGCGUCUGAUUAGCUAGUUGGAGGGGUAACGGCCCACCAAGGCGAUGAUCAGUAGCCGGUCUGAGAGGAUGAACGGCCACAUUGGGACUGAGACACGGCCCAGACUCCUACGGGAGGCAGCAGUGGGGAAUCUUCCGCAAGGGACGAAAGUCUGACGGAGCAACGCCGCGUGAGUGAUGACGGCCGUCGGGUUGUAAAGCUCUGUUAAUCGGGACGAAAGGCCUUCUUGCGAAUAGUGAGAAGGAUUGACGGUACCGGAAGAGAAAGCCACGGCUAACUACGUG
rnacentral:rRNA from 1 species